rnacentral:rRNA from 1 species
AGGGAACGCUGGCGGUAGGCCUAACACAUGCCAGUCGAACGGCAGCACAGUAAGAGCUUGCUCUUACGGGUGGCGAGUGGCGGACGGGUGAGGAAUACAUCGGAAUCUACUUUUUCGUGGGGGAUAACGUAGGGAAACUUACGCUAAUACCGCAUACGACCUACGGGUGAAAGCAGGGGAUCUUCGGACCUUGCGCGAUUGAAUGAGCCGAUGUCGGAUUAGCUAGUUGGCGGGGUAAAGGCCCACCAAGGCGACGAUCCGUAGCUGGUCUGAGAGGAUGAUCAGCCACACUGGAACUGAGACACGGUCCAGACUCCUACGGGAGGCAGCAGUGGGGAAUAUUGGACAAUGGGCGCAAGCCUGAUCCAGCCAUACCGCGUGGGUGAAGAAGGCCUUCGGGUUGUAAAGCCCUUUUGUUGGGAAAGAAAAGCAGCAGGUUAAUACCCCGCUGUUCUGACGGUACCCAAAGAAUAAGCACCGGCUAACUUCGUG